UUAAUUUGUUCUUCGUCUGAAAGAUUGGCCAACAAUUGUGAGAGAUUGGAACUGAUAUCUUUGCUUACUGAAAAGAUAAGUCGUCUCCUAUGGUGUUUUAGCUGUUAACCUUUCAUCUUGGAGGCUCUUGUAGUUAAUUAAGGAACAUUAGAAGAACUCGGGAUACCAUUAAAUUACGAAAGUAUAGAGCGUUGGUUGUAUUAGUCCUCAUUUGCCCCAGAAAGUAGCUGUGCCCAUGAUUCUAAAGAAAGCAUGAAAGUGCCUUUUUUCCGUUGGGAUCGAAGCUGUUAAAUUUUCAUCCCGGAUGCUCUUGUAGUUAAUUAAGGGAUGUUAGAAGAACUCCAGAUGCCAUUAAAUUGUGGAGCAUUGAUUGUGUUGGUUCUCAUUGACUCCAAAAAGUGACUGUUCCUAUGGUCAUAAAGAAUGCAUGAAAGUGCCUUUCCAUUGGGAACGGAGACAAUGUGCGGAAGAAAUGUGCUGCUGAGGGAGGGAUUUAUGACAAUAAACUGAUUGCCCCACAAAUGACGAGGGAUUGCAGUUAAUUUUGAUGCUACUGAAGCAACCGAUGCUUUUGAUGUCUUCACUUUGCAACAUUAUGUAGUCAACUUUUACCGUAACAACAGGAGGCAGUUGGAAAUUAAUUAAUUUGGAAGAGACUGGAACAACAGAUUGUUUGCAGUGGUAUCCCUCCUAGAUUUGGUUUGCUCAUCACACUGGUAGACUUUAGAACGCCAUUUCUACAAUUAAGAAUAAAUUGACAUUUAUCAUUGAUCUGUCUAUGGAGUUUAUCUAUCUAUGAAGUUUAACUAUCUAUGGAGUUUAUAUAUCUAUGAAGUUUAACUCUCUAUGGAUUUUCUAUUUAACCUUUUGCUAUUGUCUGCAUCCUAAAUUGACGUCGAAUUAUUUGACAUUUAUCUAUGCCGUGAUCUAUGGUUGUGAUGUAAAAUGGCGUUGAAAUAACGCUUGUUAAUUUAUAAUUCAACUAGUUUUACUUGUGUUUUGAUGCGUUUUUAUUCGUGUUUCUUAAUUAUAAGUGUAAUUAAUGUGCUUUUUUGUCCUUUUGUGCAGGUCAUACAGUAACUGAGAGAGAAUUAAUGUUCAGUUUGUUUAUACUGAAAUAGGCAAUGUCUACAUGGGUGUGGUCUUUCGUGGAUUAUAUACUUGAUUUGCUAUUUCUUCUUCGCCUUGUAACAUCGUGCAGUUAAUUUUCAACUCAUGAGUGAGAGCAAGUGGAUAUUUGAAUUCCACUGAAGUAAGAAAUUCUCUGCUACGGUGUUCCUCUUGGAAUUGGUUUGCUUUUUGCACCUGUAAACUUUGGAACGUUACGUUCUACAAUUAAACAA